GUGACAACAACUCACUCCAACCUGACUGCAGGAGAAAAGCGGGCAUACCAGUGGCUGAAAACGAAUGAUGAUCUAGUUAUCCAAGCAGCUGACAAAGGAGGAGCGACUGUUGUUUGGGGACAAGCUCUAUCGGCAAAUCAAAGGCACUGCUAUGGGCAUGCACCCUAUGCACCCAACUAUGCUGGACUGUAUUUGGGUCUGUGGGAAGAGAGAACCUCCAAAUGUCUCCUUUCGAAGGGCACCAACACUCAAAGACAGUUUGGUCAAAAGCCACUUACCAGCUGAGAAACCCAAGCUAUACUUCCCUAAGCCAAAAGGCACCUACAGGUGUGGUGGCUGCAAUCAUUGUGAUAACAUUAAGAGGGAGGACAAGUUUGUGGAUGUUUUUACACAGAGAGUCUUUUAUUGUCGUGACUUUGCCAACUGUAACUCAACAUUUGUGGUGUAUAGAUUGGAAUGUGAAUGUGGAUGUUUUUAUGUGGGCCGCACCAAACGAAAAUUGCGUCAAAGACUGGCUGAACAUAAGAAUGCUAUCAAAACGCAGAAUCCCAACU